rnacentral:rRNA from 1 species
CGAACGAUGAUCCUCAGCUUGCUGGGGGGAUUAGUGGCGAACGGGUGAGUAACACGUGAGUAACCUGCCCUUGACUCUGGGAUAAGCCUGGGAAACUGGGUCUAAUACCGGAUAUGACCAUCUGGCGCAUGUCAUGGUGGUGGAAAGCUUUUGUGGUUUUGGAUGGACUCGCGGCCUAUCAGCUUGUUGGUGGGGUAAUGGCCUACCAAGGCGACGACGGGUAGCCGGCCUGAGAGGGUGACCGGCCACACUGGGACUGAGACACGGCCCAGACUCCUACGGGAGGCAGCAGUGGGGAAUAUUGCACAAUGGGCGAAAGCCUGAUGCAGCGACGCCGCGUGAGGGAUGACGGCCUUCGGGUUGUAAACCUCUUUCAGUAGGGAAGAAGCGAAAGUGACGGUACCUGCAGAAGAAGCGCCGGCUAACUACGUGCCAGCAGCCGCGGUAAUACGUAGGGCGCAAGCGUUAUCCGGAAUUAUUGGGCGUAAAGAGCUCGUAGGCGGUUUGUCGCGUCUGCUGUGAAAGACCGGGGCUCAACUCCGGUUCUGCAGUGGGUACGGGCAGACUAGAGUGCAGUAGGGGAGACUGGAAUUCCUGGUGUAGCGGUGAAAUGCGCAGAUAUCAGGAGGAACACCGAUGGCGAAGGCAGGUCUCUGGGCUGUAACUGACGCUGAGGAGCGAAAGCAUGGGGAGCGAACAGGAUUAGAUACCCUGGUAGUCCAUGCCGUAAACGUUGGGCACUAGGUGUGGG